rnacentral:rRNA from 1 species
UACGUAGGUGGCGAACGUUGUCCGGAUUUACUGGGCGUAAAGAGCGCGCAGGCGGUCGUGCAAGUCGCGUGUGAAAGCCCCCGGCUCAACUGGGGAGGGUCACGCGAUACUGCUCGACUCGAAGGCAGGAGAGGGAAGUGGAAUUCCCGGUGUAGUGGUGAAAUGCGUAGAUAUCGGGAGGAACACCAGUGGCGAAGGCGACUUCCUGGCCUGUUCUUGACGCUGAGGCGCGAAAGCUAGGGUAGCAAACGGG